rnacentral:rRNA from 1 species
UGGCGGACGGGUGAGUAAUGUCUGGGAAACUGCCUGAUGGAGGGGGAUAACUACUGGAAACGGUAGCUAAUACCGCAUAACGUCGCAAGACCAAANAGGGGGACCUUCGGGCCUCUUGCCAUCGGAUGUGCCCAGAUGGGAUUAGCUAGUAGGUGGGGUAAAGGCUCACCUAGGCGACGAUCCCUAGCUGGUCUGAGAGGAUGACCAGCCACAUUGGGACUGAGACACGGUCCAGACUCCUACGGGAGGCAGCAUG